rnacentral:rRNA from 1 species
AAAUUGAAGAGUUUGAUCAUGGCUCAGAUUGAACGCUGGCGGCAGGCCUAACACAUGCAAGUCGAACGGUAACAGGAAGCAGCUUGCUGCUUUGCUGACGAGUGGCGGACGGGUGAGUAAUGUCUGGGAAACUGCCUGAUGGAGGGGGAUAACUACUGGAAACGGUAGCUAAUACCGCAUAACGUCGCAAGACCAAAGAGGGGGACCUUCGGGCCUCUUGC